GUUGAUAUCCAGAGGAGCAAAGAGGGAGCUGUCCAAAGCUAUGAGCGCGUGUGCCUGCCUGCUUGCUGACAUGUAUGCAUAUGUCUGGCCUCUUUGAGACUUGCUUGAAUUGUGACACACCACCUGGUUUAGAUCCUGUAACGCCCUCUGACCUGUUGGAAGAAACUACUGAAACUUUCCAGGAAGAACCUUAUGAUCGCCUGUUGGCCAGAUUGGUUAAGGCCACUUGCUCUCAACGAGAGUCGUGAUGUUCUUUGAUAUGUAUAAUGGACAUUGUCUCAGUAGUAUGUGAGGCGGGUGUAAAAGAAUUAUACACUUCGUUGAUCGGUUGUAUAUAAUUUAAGUUUUGAAAAAGUGUGCUGCCUAGGAAGCACCCUUAUACCUUGAAGACAACCCCCCGACAUCCCUCCUUUAACCAGAUUGCGUCUCCUGGCCCCUGCUUUAUAAGGAUUCCAGAACCAGCCCCACCCCCUUGAGAUUCUGGGUGUUCUUUCGAAGGCCAUCUGCCUUGUUUCCACCAUGUGCCACUUACCUUUGAAACAGCUGCUCCGCAGUUAGAAUUUCCAGGCCCCAAGUUGGCGUUUCUGACCCAUUUGCAGCUGAAACACUGUUAAUGUUUGCAUUACGCUGGAUAACUCUGGAGGUUAAAAUCGAUUCGUGCAAAUAGAUGACUGAGUAAGCAAUAGAAACCUGACCUAGAAUAAUCUCAUGGUUUGAUGUUGCAUAAACAUGUUUUAUAAUCUGUUUAACAGCAAACUUGAUACUUCCUGCAUGUGCCACCCAUAGCAUGCCCUUUGCUGGGAGACGAGAGAAAAAGGAAAACCAUGUUUUCCUUCUCAUUCAAAAUCAAGGAAAUUAAUAAACUGAGAAAAUCUGAUUGUCCUCAGUACUCUAUGUCUUUGUGCGUUUCUCUUCAUUCUGUAUUCUUUUUUCAUCUUCUUGUGCAGAGCUGGAGCAAAGGCAGCUCUCAUGGUUGGGACGGUACAUUUAACCUCAGGUUUAUUAUUUUAAACACACUUGCUUGACUCUGAUCGGAGAUCAAAAUAAGCACUGCCAAGAAUGGGACAGACUGACAUUGUAGCUGCUUUGAUGUGACGUAUGGAGACAAACACAGCCACACUCCCAUGAUAUUUGUGGCAAAAUGCAAGUAGUACUAAUCAUAAGGCAACAUCAUACAAACCCAAGGUGAGGGAGAUUCUGCAAAAAACCCGGUAUGACAUCUUCAAAAACAUGGCGGUCAUGAAAGACAAAGGCAGAUUGAAGAAUCGUUUCAGAUUGGAGAAGAGGGAAGAGACAUCAAAAGUGAAUGUGACACAUUCUCCUGGAUGGGAACCAGAAACAGAAGAAACAAAAUUGAGGAGUGCAUAAAAGAAAAAUGAGUGAAUGGAUUACAUGGUCAUACUGCAUAAAUGUCCACUUCCCGCUUUUGAUGGCCAAAGUAUGGUUAUUCCAUAGGAGAAUGUCCUGUCUUCUAGAAAAUUCACAUUGACACUUCACGUGGGGCUGGAGCACCAUGUCUGCAACUUUCAGUUGUUUCAGGAAGGUGGAUGAUAGAUGAUGGAUAGAGAGAGAGAGAGAGAGAAAGAUGGUAAAGAUAAAUACAGAAGUAAUGAUAAAGCCAAAGUGUCAGAAUGUUAGGAACUGGGGACCUUGGGUGAAAGAACUUGACAGUUCUUUGUAUUAUUCUUUCACUUUUGUGUCUAAAUAUAUAUAAGGUAAAAAUAGGUAACAUUGAUCUAUUUACAUCUGUCUUACAUAUGUAUAUAAUUUACCUGGGCCCCUGAGGGCUACUGAAUUAGAAUAUAGGCAAGGGAGCUCCUAGAAAGCCCAGAGGUGAGGGUGGUACAGAGCCAGCGAGGCGAGGCUCCCCUUUAGCAAGGCCUCUCAGUUCUAGGAGCUCGGUGGCAGGUAGGUCUGGGGAGGAAGCGAUUCUGCUUCUUGUCCUGGCUUCUCUCUCACAUUCCAAGCCCACUGCCUGCUCUCUUCUCUCUCUUGCUACUUCCCAAGGUGUAAUUAUCUGACAAUGACUCAUCAAAGCUUCCCAAACUGUGUUUCUCAAAACACUAAUGUGUUCUCAGAAAACAAAUGAAAACGAAAACAAAUAAUCCAUUUGGUUCUGACUCCAAUAAGUCUCUAUAGUAUUUUAUAUAGUGGCUCCUUCCUGGACAUUUAUAAAAUGUAUUCAUUUAUAAAUGCCUUGCAAAGGGCUACAUUUUGUGUAACUCAAUAUUUUGCAAACAUUUUUAGCCGCGUAAUGCCUUUUGUCCCACUUAACGCCUCUCACAUAACACCCAGUGACACUUGUGUUUUUCCUGGUACUUAGUGGGAAAGGCCACGUGAAGCCUCUAGGAUGCUGAUGGGAGCAGUGUGAAGGUAGUUGGCCUCAGGCAUGGCUCACUUAGGGCCUGGCUCAAUGCAUUUGUGAUUCUCGCAGCUCUGCCUUCUUGCAGGUGUCCACUUGUAUGGAAAGUGACUUCCCUCGUGAGAUUUCCAGAUGCUGUAAGCAGGAACUGAGGCUAAUGCUUGUGUCUUCACAGACAGGCAGAGAAUAGCAGGUGUGCAUCUGGCGCAGACUACCCCUGAGCCAAUCACCAGAGCCAGGGAAUUGGGAUUGCCCUGUUAGCUGGGACCAGCCAGGGCUCACCCAUUCAUGCAUGGGGGCUACACAGUGGGCAGAGGGCGGGAUGGCUGCUGGGGUCGGGUAUCAGAAUGUGGAACUUCAGCCAGCAGAGGACUGGGAGUCUUGCAAUUGGCUCAGGUAACCCCCUCCCCACACAAGGCUCUCCAGACAAUCACCAGCUCCAGUUCUGCACCCAGUUAGCCUGUCCUGGGGUGAGGAGGCGGCCCUCUGUGUGCAGAAGGCAGGGAAGAGCCACCAGGUGACCCAGUGGCUGCUCAGUGGGAAAAGGAUUAGCAGUGAACUGAGUUGCCUUUUCCAUUUUUCCUUUUCUUCUUUGAGUCACAUGCUUUCCCACGAUGGGAUUUUUCUUUCUCUUUAGCCCUGCCCAGCAAGCCCGUCUCUGGGAUCACAGCUACAUUCACUUCUGAAAAGACUAGUGAACACAGAUUGCUUGCCAGUUCCCCAACUGGAGGCUGAAUUCCAAAAGUUAUUUUCUUUAAGCCUUAAUCUCAACCUUUUGCCUCAUAAUUUUCAAGUAAAAUCCUUCUCGUGGCAGGUGCUCACAAAAUGCUAAGAACUGAACAACGUGUCCUUAUUACACUUGCAGUAAUUCCCAGAUGGCACCCGUGGAUUCAAACGUUUGUAAGUCGCUUGACAUGGGUCUGCCCAGCUACAGCCAGGAGGAUGCCCGUGCUAGGUUAACACCGAAUGCAAACGAACAGAAAUCAGCACUGGCCGGAUUUUCCCUCCUUUCCUGUGAAGCAGAUAAUGUUAAUGCCGCAAGCACAGUGCUUUCCGAGGGCUGCAGCUGACUUGGAAGGGGGGGCAUCACUCCUUCAUCACCCCAAGUAGAUAAGAGCCGGAGUCUCCAGGAAGCCUCAGGAAAUGCCCAGGCCUGUGCCAGAGCAGGUGUCCAAUUUCAUAUCCAGUCUUCUUCCUUCUCCUUCCCCAAACACCGCCCCAGAGGAAAAGACCCCCAAAAUUGAUGAAAAUUAAUGUAACAAGUUGCUCCUAGAGCUCUUCUCCAAUUGCCAUUCCUGAAAUUACCAGCCCCUUGUUUUUAGGUUACUGCCUAAUUCAUUUGAUAUAUUAUAAUAUGAUGAGGUGCAUUACCAUACACAGAGACACUUUAGUUAAUUUAUGUAUUUAUUUGCUUUUCAGGGCUGUGGCCAUGGCAUAUGGAUUCCUAGGCUGCGGGUCAAAUCAGAACUACAGCUGCUGGCCUACACCGCAGCCACAGCCACACAGAUCCGAGCUGCGUCUGCAACCUACACUACAGCUCACGGCAAUGCCAGCUCUUUAACCCACUGAGUGAGGCCAGAGAUUGAACCCCUAGGCAAGUUUGUUACUGCCCAGCCACAGCGGGAACUCCCAGAGGCACAUUAUUUUAAUUGAAGUUUAGCUGAUUUACAGUGUCGUAUUAGUUUCCAGCAUACAGCACAGCGAAUCAGUUAUAAAUGUAGAUACAUAUAGGCUUUAUCCUAUUCUUUUCCACUGUGGUUUAUUGUAAGGUACAGAAUAGAGUUCUCCGUGCUAUACAAUAGGACCUUACUGUUGACCUAUCUUAUGUGUAGUGGUUUGUACCUGCUCAUCCCAAAUUCCUAAUUUAUCCCUACCUUCCCCCUUCAGUAACCAUAAGUUCGUUCUCUAUGUCUGUGCGUCUGUUUCUGACUUGUAAAUAAGUUCAUUUGUAUCCUUUUUUUAGAUUCUACACAUAAGUGAUAUGUAUUUGUCUUUGUCUGACUGAUGUCACUUAAUAUGAUGAUCUCUAGGUCCAUCCAUGUCACUACGAAUGGCAUUAGUUCAUUCUUUUUUAUGACUGAAUACUAUUCCAUUCACACACACACCCUUUUUUUUUUUUUUUUUUUUUUUUUUUGGCCAAAACUGUGGCAUGCCAAAGUUCCCCAGCCAGGGAUUGUACCUGGGCCACAGCAGUGACCCAAGCCAUAGCAGUGACAGUGCCAGAUCCUUAACCCACCACACCACCAGAGAACCCCGACACACACACAUCUUUAAUACAAGGGCUUCAAUGCCUCGAUUCAAAAUAGUGACCAGAGGUGAGAAACAGGCCUUCUGCUCACCAUCAAGUACGUGGUAUCUUUUCAGUCAACCCAAGGGAUGAAUUGCGUUUAAAUUGCAUCCCUGUGGGACACAGGUGAGCUCUUAAAGCCCACUGCUUGUCAAAUAUCUGCCUCGGAGAAAGUUUCUUAAGGUUCGAAACUCAUCAAGGCUGUCUUAGAUGGGUGUCUCCUCUGUUCCCUGAACUUCUGCCUGGAACAGCUCAGCAGGUAGAGGCCAUGGGAUCUCAGAGCCUUAGCGUAGGAGAGGGUCCUGAACCUCCCCUCCUCUCUUCCAAACUACAGCGUCCUCGCCAAGUGAUGAGUAACCUCUUCUGAGCUAACCUCCACCUGGAAUCGUCAUUGAGCUGCUCACUUCCUUUAUUUUCACAUACGCCCUUCAUUACCUGAAACAAAUACAUCUCUCAUCCUUGAGCCCACAAGAAUCUAAGCGCUCUCAGGUUUUACAAGGCUUCUUCAGGCUAACCUUCUGCCAACACUUAAAUUCCCUUUCUGAAAGGGCCCCCAGUUGCUGCAGUGUCUCUGCCUUGCUCCCCCUGGCUCCCCCCCCCAUCGUCUUUCUAAAGUUCAUAGUCCUACCUCCUCGCCCCUAACAGCCAGCUUCACAAAUACAGUGCAUCCUGAGUGUGUAUUCCGCAUCUUCAGCAUAAGUAGAAUAUUUUUAGGAAAUCAAACACGUAGCUUGUUUCCUUUGUAAAAAUGACCAGAAUAAAGAGCUCUCUACCUAAUCAGUCCCCUGGCUCCCAAGGAAUGUUAGAACCAAACUUGUGAAAAAUGAACUAAAAUGAGGGACCAUCUGUAGGCUUUUGUGUUGAGGUCUUCUGUUGGCCGCCUGACCGCUCCACUCCAUCGGGUGAGAUAAUCAAACGUAUUGGCUCUUAUUUCAAUUUCCUUAGCUAGUAUUUGGAAAAUAAGCAGCUGAAAGAAAAUGUAAAUAUCCUUAUGUGUACUGCUCUUUUGGCUGCAAGUAAUAGAAAACCUACCAGUUGCAUAAACCCUAGGGUAGUGUUGGCUGCAGUUAUCUAAAGCUGCAUAAAAGAUGUAUGCUUUUGUUUUUGUUUUUUUCCACUCAAGGUUAGCAUCUGUAAUUCUUCCUCCACAGUUCUGCUUGGCAUUUUCACAUAACUGUUGAAGACUGAAAGUUCUGAAAACGUGGAGCCACCAGCCGACUUCCCUUUCCGUCUCAUUAGUCGGGGUGGAGGCACAAGGCCAGCUGAGCUACGAGGGAAACAAGGAAGUGAGUUUCUGGCAACGGGAGGUGGGACGGUCGUGACCAGGCAAAGCGGCUGCUUCAGUGUCCCCGGAACGUUGAAAAAUAAGAGUUUUAUUUCCUUGUAAAAGUUAAUAGAUAAUCAUGAAGAAAGUUU
rnacentral:lncRNA from 1 species